GACGAACGCUGGCGGCGUGCUUAACACAUGCAAGUCGAACGGAAAGGCCCUGCUUUUGUGGGGUGCUCGAGUGGCGAACGGGUGAGUAACACGUGAGUAACCUGCCCUUGACUUUGGGAUAACUUCAGGAAACUGGGGCUAAUACCGGAUAGGAGCUCCUGCUGCAUGGUGGGGGUUGGAAAGUUUCGGCGGUUGGGGAUGGACUCGCGGCUUAUCAGCUUGUUGGUGGGGUAGUGGCUUACCAAGGCUUUGACGGGUAGCCGGCCUGAGAGGGUGACCGGCCACAUUGGGAAUGAGAUAAGGGCCAGGAUCCUACGGGAGGCAGCAGGGGGGAAUAUUGCAAAAUGGGCGGAAGCCUGAAGCAGCAACGCCGGGGGCGGGAUGAAGGCCUUCGGGGUUGAAACCGCUUUCGCCUGUGAAGAAGCGGGAGGGACGGGAAUGGGUAAAGAAGCACCGGCUAACUACGUG
rnacentral:rRNA from 1 species